CUUUUGUAAGUGGAUCCGACACAUUAUCCUUUGACUUUAUAUAGUCAAUAGUGAUAAUUCCACUAGAGAGAAGUUCCCUAACGGUAUAUGUCUCCGUCGUAUAUGACGAGAUUUACCGUUGUACAUCAUGCUCCCUGCCCUACCUAUUGCCGCUUGGCUAUCACAGUGUAUACAUAUUGGUGCCACUGGCUUGGGUUAAUACAGAAUAUCUUCC
rnacentral:lncRNA from 1 species